rnacentral:rRNA from 1 species
UUCGGGUCGCCGGCGAGUGGCAAACGGGUGAGUAACGCGUGGAUACCUGUCCUGUGGUGGGGAAUAACGUUUAGAAAUGAACGCUAAUACCGCAUAAGCCCUGCGGGGGAAAGAUUUAUCGCCAUAGGAGGGGUCCGCGUCGGAUUAGCUAGUUGGUGGGGUAACGGCCUACCAAGGCGACGAUCCGUAGCUGGUCUGAGAGGAUGAUCAGCCACACUGGGACUGAGACACGGCCCAGACUCCUACGGGAGGCAGCAGUGGGGAACAUUGCGCAAUGGAGGAAACUCUGACGCAGCGACGCCGCGUGGGUGAAGAAGGCCUUAGGGUUGUAAAGCCCUUUCAGUGGGAAAGAUGAUGACGGUACCCACAGAAGAAGCCCCGGCUAACUCCGUGCCAGCAGCCGCGGUAAUACGGAGGGGGCGAGCGUUGUUCGGAAUUAUUGGGCGUAAAGCGCGCGUAGGCGGUUUACCAAG